rnacentral:rRNA from 1 species
GACGAACGCUGACGGCGUGCUUAACACAUGCAAGUCGAACGGUGAAGCGCCUUCCUUUUUGGUGGGUGUGGAUGAGUGGCGAACGGGUGAGUAACACGUGAGUAACCUGCCCCCUUCUUCUGGAUAACCGCAUGAAAGUGUGGCUAAUACGGGAUAUUCUGGGUCUGUCGCAUGAUGGGUCUGGGAAAGAUAUUGUUUCGGUGGGGGAUGGGCUCGCGGCCUAUCAGCUUGUUGGUGGGGUGAUGGCCUACCAAGGCGGUGACGGGUAGCCGGCCUGAGAGGGUGGACGGUCACACUGGGACUGAGACACGGCCCAGACUCCUACGGGAGGCAGCAGUGGGGAGUAUUGCACAAUGGGCGCAAGCCUGAUGCAGCGACGCCGCGUGAGGGAUGGAGGCCUUCGGGUUGUGAACCUCUUUCGCCAGUGAAGCAGGCCUGCCUCGUUUGUGGGUGGGUUGACGGUAGCUGGAUAAGAAGCGCCGGCUAACUACGUG